rnacentral:rRNA from 1 species
GUGAGGAAUAUUGGUCAAUGGACGGAAGUCUGAACCAGCCAUGCCGCGUGAAGGAUGAAGGCGUUCUGCGUUGUAAACUUCUUUUAUCAGAGAAGAAACCACUGAUUUCUAUUAGUGUUGACGGUAUCUGAUGAAUAAGCACCGGCUAACUCCGUGCCAGCAGCCGCGGUAAUACGGAGGGUGCAAGCGUUAUCCGGAUUUACUGGGUUUAAAGGGUGUGUAGGCGGGCUAUUAAGUCAGGGGUGAAAUCCCGGGGCUCAACCUCGGAACUGCCGUUGAUACUAUUAGUCUUGAAUUAUGUUGAGGUUGGCGGAAUAUAACAUGUAGCGGUGAAAUGCAUAGAUAUGUUAUAGAACACCGAUUGCGAAGGCAGCUGGCUAAACAUAUAUUGACGCUGAGGCACGAAAGCGUGGGUAGCGAACAGGAUUAGAAACCCGUGUAGUCC